AUUGAACGCUGGCGGCAUGCCUCACACAUGCAAGUCGAACGGCAGCACGGGUGCUUGCACCUGGUGGCGAGUGGCGAACGGGUGAGUAAUACAUCGGAACGUACCUUAUCGUGGGGGAUAACGCAGCGAAAGCUGUGCUAAUACCGCAUACGCCCUGAGGGGGAAAGCGGGGGAUCGCAAGACCUCGCGCGAUUAGAGCGGCCGAUGCCUGAUUAGCUUGUUGGUGGGGUAAAAGCCCACCAAGGCGACGAUCAGUAGCUGGUCUGAGAGGACGAUCAGCCACACUGGGACUGAGAAACGGCCCAGACUCCUACGGGAGGCAGCAGUGGGGAAGUUUGGACAAUGGGGGCAACCCUGAUCCAGCAAUGCCGCGUGAGUGAAGAAGGCCUUCGGGUUGUAAAGCUCUUUUGUCAGGGAAGAAACACCGGCUCUAACACAGUCCGGGAAUGACGGUACCUGAAGAAUAAGCACCGGCUAACUACGUGCCAGCCGCCGCCGUAA
rnacentral:rRNA from 1 species